rnacentral:rRNA from 1 species
CACGUAGGGCGCAAGCGUUGUCCGGAAUUAUUGGGCGUAAAGAGCUCGUAGGCGGUCUGUUGCGUCCGCUGUGAAAACUCGGGGCUUAACCCCUGGCUUGCAGUGGAUACGGACAGACUAGAGGUAGGUAGGGGAGAAUGGAAUUCCCGGUGUAGAGGUGAAAUUCGUAGAUAUCGGGAGGAACACCGGUGGCGAAGGCGGCGACCUGGGUCGAUACUGACGCUGAUGCGCGAAAGCGUGGGGAGCAAACAGG